rnacentral:rRNA from 1 species
UAGUAAUGUGAANUGCAGAAUUCAGUGAAUCAUCGAAUCUUUGAAUGCACCUUGCACCUCUUGGUAUUCUGAGAGGUACACCUGUUUGAGUAUCAUU